AUGUAUAGGUCCAGCAAUAAGUUUUGUAACAGCCUGUGUGGUAUCUUUCUCUACUUCUUUCAACCAUCAUGGAUAGGUGAGGCCCUGAGGGUUUUCAGUAACAAAAAUGUGAACUGUUGUGGUCCAGAAUUGAACCAUGUAUAUUGGCAUAAGGGUAUUGAUUGGCCUCAAAUCCUUUGUUGGCUGGGUGCCACUCUGUCGCUGCCAUUUACUUGUUGGAACAUAAAAAUGACUAUAUCCUUUUGUUCUGUAACUAUAUGCUUGCUUUGUUACCUGACAAUUGGCCAACAUGUAUUGUCAAACCUUAUGAAUUUGUCUCUGACAAGCCUGGAAUGUUCAUGCCAAAUUGUUGACAACAUACCAGGGAAAUUGCAAAGAAAAUAG
rnacentral:rRNA from 1 species